rnacentral:rRNA from 1 species
UUUAAAGGGGAAAGCCCUUACCUAUUUUUGACAUCCAGAGAACUUUCCAGAGAUGGAUUUUUCCUUUGGGAACUAAAAAACAGGGGGCGCAUGGCUGUUGUCAGCUUGUGUUGUGAAAUGUUGGGUUAAGUCCCGCCAAGAGCGCAACCCUUAUUCUUUGUUCCCCACGAUUGGGUGGGGAACUCAAAGGAGACUGCGGGUGCAAAACGGGAGGAAGGUGGGGAUGACGUCAAGUCAUCAUGCCCCUUAGGAGUAGGGCAACACACGUGUUACAAUGGUGUUUACAGAGGGAAGCGAGACGCGAGGUGGAGCGAAUCUCACAAAGAAGUCUCAGUUCGGAUUGGAGUCUGCAACUCGCACUCCAUGAAGUCUGGA